rnacentral:rRNA from 1 species
CAAGGCCGUUGGAGCGCCAGGGCUCUACCUCUUCCCAUACCGAACAGAGUCGUAAAAACUGGCAGCGCCGAUGAUACUUGGUCCGCAGGGCCUGGGAAAGUAGGUCACGGCCGUAU